rnacentral:rRNA from 1 species
AACGGCCGCAGUACCCUAACUGCGCGAAGGUAGCAUAAUCACUUGUUCUUUAAAUGAGGACUAGUAUCAACGGCAUCACGAGGGUUCUACUGUCUCCUUUCUCUAAUCUGUGAAACUAAUCUUCCCGUGAAGAAGCGGGAAUAAACUUAUAAGACGAGAAGACCCCAUGGAGCUUUAAACUUAACUGCACCUUCCCCCUCUUUAUUCCCUUUCACCAGCGGAGACUGCAUAUUAAGUUUUAGGUUGGGGUGACCACGGAGUACAACAAAACCUCCAUGAUAAAUUAAAUUAAACCUUUAAUCUGAGAAUAACACUUCUAAGAAUUAGAACACUAAUAUAAAAUGAUCCGAUAAUCGAUCAACGGACCUAGUUACCCUGGGGAUAACAGCGCAAUCCAUUUCAAGAGCCCCUAUCGACAAAUGGGUUUACGACCUCGAUGUUGGAUCAGGGUGUCCUAGUGGUGCAGCAGCUGCUGAAGGUUCGUUUGUUCAACGAUUAAAACCCU